AGAUACUGACGACACUGAUUCCAAAGGAGACUUGGGGAUGUUUUUCCUUCCUUCUCUAUUUUGGAUUUGCUGUUUGUUUUGUUUCGUUGUUUUGUUUUGUUUGGGGUUGGGAGAAUCAGAGUAUAUAUUCCGAUAGACCUCGAUUGCCUAACGUCUCAUACAGAGUACCAGCAGGAACCGGCGUGACUACUAACAUUAUUUUCCUUACGGUGCUUUUUGUCAUAAUCAUGGGACAACUGUUCACAUUCCGGGCAUCAUCUUGGAACACACAAUUUGGGGAAUGGGUUCAGAGUGACUCUAUGAAGACACUGAUUGGAACAUUAGCAGGGACGGACAGACUCACUAUGAGGAAACAAGCGCCAAGCAUCACAGCUUUCAUCUUCACAUCCAGGUCCAGCGGGAACUGGAUCCCGAAGUUAUCUGCAUCCGUGAAGGCCUCUCUCACAAAACCAGACCACUGCUUGGAAAUUUUGCCAACAACGGAUUCCUCAUCUAGAGAUUUGAGCUGCGUAGCAAAAGUAAAGUCAUAAACAUUUCCAAAAUCUAAAUGGCAAACAUAGCUUUCAGAGUCACAAUUUGAGAAAACAAAUAUUUGCCUUAAAUUAUAUAAAGUGGUAAGCAUCAGCAGAUUGAGCUAUUCAUUCUGUGCGAACAAAACUCAAGUUCUCUGGCUCCUGUUAAGACAGAUAAUAUAAAUUCUGACUCUCAAUGCAACACAAAUUUAAUAGAAGAAAAAUUAAAUGUUUUACUGAUACAUUGUCUUGAA